GACAGAUUAUGCGUUCGCUUUAAGGGGUGCGGCGACGCCGAUGCUCGGUUGGCGAGGAAGUGCGUUCUGUUACACGCAGGAGGACUGUGGCAGAGGACGGUUGGAAAUUAUGUAGCUAGAUUGUGAAACCGUAACAUACAGUUACCGAUCCCUGGCUUGUUACCGGAGAAACACCAUCUAACACUCAAAGCUUUGUAACGGCGAAGACGUGUAGUUGGCUUGAAGAGUAGAAGCAGAGGAAGGAGCCUGCAGUAGAUAAGGUGUAGGAAGCCAGCAGAGAGAGGAGCAGAAAAGGCCCCGGAGAAGAUGUAUUUUGGGUGCAUUCUAUUGUGUUUUUGUUUUUUUGGCCCUUGUCCAUUUUCUACAUUUUUUUUUUUACAUGCUCUCCCGCCUCCUUGCACUGGUUAAAUAAUUGAUGAUGUGUAAGCAAGCGUGAGUGCUCAAAGUGUUAAUGUCUUAUGUAUUGUGUUUGUUAAUGCCUUAUGUGUCGUGUCUGUAUCUUUUUGCCAGUUGCAUGCUGGUAUUACGCUCUUUUUCGCUCUCCCCAUCCAUCCGUCCCUCCCUCCCUCUGUUUUUGUGUGUUUAUUUUUAUGUUGAGUGAAACGGCAGAUUAGCACAGUAAUCCCUCAGUAGAGAUUUUUUUCUGUUUGUAUUUUUUGGGGUGGGGAGAGGGGGUAUUUAUGUGCGUUUGGAUGUGUCAUAAAGCCUGCGUGUUGGUGUGUGUGUGUGUGUGUGUGUGAGUGUGCGGGCGCGUGCCAUUUGCAGUGGCUCCUCUGAGAUGCGCCUGGGUUAGCGGGGUUGAUCCUCCCCUCUGUGUGUCCGCUUGGCUAUAUCCGUUCAGUAUGCUGCACGCAUUGUAAUCUUUCUCUCGGGACCUGUGGAUCUGUGAGUUCACGUGAACCGUUGUGUGUGUGUGUGUGUGUGUGUGUGUGUGUGUGUGUGUGUGUGUGUGUGUGUGUGUGUGUGUGUGUGUCGCUCAGCUUAGGCUUUUUCGGUGGAAACUACAGGGAUGGGACCAUAACGCUCCUUUGUCAUGUUUGUGUUUUGAAG
ensembl:lncRNA